AGAGGAAACAGAGAGGAACUAACAUGCAGAGGACAGAGAGAGGAACUAACGUGCAGAGGACAGAGAGAGAAUUAAUAGUGCUAAUCGUGCAAAUGGCUUUUGCCUCUUUUCUCUAAUCCCUCCUUUUUGCCCCAACAAUGGAGGAAUCAGGACCAGAGAAGAGGGGUUCAUUUGUGGAAUAGCCCCUUCUCUGUGGCAUUGAUAUGGCAUGCCAAUUUUGUCAUAUAAUGAGGUUCCACACAAGCAUGGUUCUGUUUCUCAGCAUUCUGACUGUUUCUGCACCUAUGCCACACUGAAUAACCAAAGCUCAAGAGUUAAGUCAUCUGGUUUAACAGUUCUGGAGGCUGGGAAGUGCAAGACCAAGAUAUGAACAGAUUCAUUAUCUGGUUCAAAGCCAGGAGCAGUGGCAAAGCACCUGUUGUCCCAGCUACUUGAGAGGCUGGAGCUGGAAGAUCACUUAAGGCCAAGAGUUCAAGACCAGCCCGGAUGACAUAGAGAGAUUCCCAUCUUUUUUAAAAAAGUUAGGUUCAGUCAGAUUUCAGAAACUGAGAGUAGACACUCUAGGAUUUGAUUGCAUUGACUUGCUUAAUGUUCAUUUUUGGCUUGGAUCAUGAAUAUAGUCUUUGGAUAAAGGGUUACUUUCCCCAAUUUGACUUGUUUUCAUCAUUGUAUACCAUGACUGUUUCCUUGAAAAUAAACUACAUAAUUACCAUUUUCAUACAACUUUACUAUGGAAAUGUGUAAUAUGUAACUAUUUCCUGAUUGUGUCCUUAAUUAAUAAUCCAGAAUUCCAUCUCUACUCAAACAACAUCAAAUACUAAGGCAGUAUUAAUUUUAGUAAAAUAUUUAAACAUACAUCUUAGUUUGCUAUAAAAAGUGAACACUUAGCUACGUGCUCAUUUUCAUAUAUAUGUUUUUUUUGUUCAUAGGUACAGAUACCCUGCAUAUUUUUGGCCUCAUAUGAAGAAAGAAAUGUUUUUGAAAGUUUACGUGUGUGCAUUUAUCAUCAUAAAUACAUUUAAUUCAUUGUAAAGACAUAGCAAGAUAAUCAGCUGUCUGAUAAUUAUAAGGUGUUGAUUAGAAAAUAGGUACUUACUUUAAAUAAAAUUGUUAUAUUAAACUA
ensembl:lncRNA GPC5-AS2 GPC5 antisense RNA 2